AGGCUUAACACAUGCAAGUCGAACGGUAGCAGGAGGAAGCUUGCUUUCUUGCUGACGAGUGGCGGACGGGUGAGUAAUGCUUGGGAAUCUGGCUUAUGGAGGGGGAUAACUACUGGAAACGGUAGCUAAUACCGCGUAAUAUCGUAAGAUUAAAGGGUGGGACUUUCGGGCCACCUGCCAUAAGAUGAGCCCAAGUGGGAUUAGGUAGUUGGUGGGGUAAAGGCCUACCAAGCCUGCGAUCUCUAGCUGGUCUGAGAGGAUGGCCAGCCACACUGGAACUGAGACACGGUCCAGACUCCUACGGGAGGCAGCAGUGGGGAAUAUUGCACAAUGGGGGGAACCCUGAUGCAGCCAUGCCGCGUGAAUGAAGAAGGCCUUCGGGUUGUAAAGUUCUUUCGGUGAUGAGGAAGGUGUUUUGUUUAAUAGACAAAGCAAUUGACGUUAGUCACAGAAGAAGCACCGGCUAACUCCGUGCCAGCAGCCGCGGUAAUACGGAGGGUGCGAGCGUUAAUCGGAAUAACUGGGCGUAAAGGGCACGCAGGCGGAUUGUUAAGUGAGAUGUGAAAGCCCCGGGCUUAACCUGGGAAUUGCAUUUCAGACUGGCAGUCUAGAGUAUUUUAGGGAGGGGUAGAAUUCCACGUGUAGCGGUGAAAUGCGUAGAGAUGUGGAGGAAUACCGAAGGCGAAGGCAGCCCCUUGGGAAUAUACUGACGCUCACUAGUGCGAAAUGCGUGGGGAGCAAACAGGAUUAGAUAGCCCUGAGUAGUCCACGCUGUAAACGAUGUUGAUUUGGGGCAUUGGGCUUUAAGCUUGGUGACCCGUA
rnacentral:rRNA from 1 species